rnacentral:tRNA from 1 species
UAGCUCAAUGGCGGAGCAACCGGCUGUUAACCGGUAGGUUGUUGGUUCGAGUCCA